rnacentral:rRNA from 1 species
GAUGAACGCUUUCUUCUUUCUUAACACAUGCAAGUCGAACGAAGCACUUUAUUUGAUUUCCUUCGGGACUGAUUAUUUUGUGACUGAGUGGCGGACGGGUGAGUAACGCGUGGGUAACCUGCCUUGUACAGGGGGAUAACAGUUGGAAACGGCUGCUAAUACCGCAUAAGCGCACAGCAUCGCAUGAUGCAGUGUGAAAAACUCCGGUGGUAUAAGAUGGACCCGCGUUGGAUUAGCUAGUUGGUGAGGUAACGGCCCACCAAGGCGACGAUCCAUAGCCGACCUGAGAGGGUGACCGGCCACAUUGGGACUGAGACACGGCCCAAACUCCUACGGGAGGCAGCAGUGGGGAAUAUUGCACAAUGGGCGAAAGCCUGAUGCAGCGACGCCGCGUGAGCGAAGAAGUAUUUCGGUAUGUAAAGCUCUAUCAGCAGGGAAGAUAAUGACGGUACCUGACUAAGAAGCACCGGCUAAAUACGUG